AGUUUGAUCCUGGCUCAGGAUGAACGCUGGCGGCGUGCCUAAUACAUGCAAGUCGAACGCACCGCUUCGGUGGUGAGUGGCGAACGGGUGAGUAAUACAUAAGUAGCCUGGCCUUUCGAGGGGGAUAACUAUUGGAAACGAUAGCUAAGACCGCAUAGGCAUAAUUCUCGCAUGAGAGUUAUGUUAAAUAUCCCAAGGGAUAGCGAGAGGAUGGACUUAUGGCGCAUUAGCUAGUUGGUGAGGGUAACGGCCCACCAAGGCGACGAUGCGUAGCCGACCUGAGAGGGUGGACGGCCACACUGGGACUGAGACACGGCCCAGACUCCUACGGGAGGCAGCAGUAGGGAAUUUUCGGCAAUGGGCGAAAGCCUGACCGAGCAACGCCGCGUGAGGGAGGAAGUAUUUCGGUAUGUAAACCUCUGUUAUAAAGGAAGAACGGCGCAUGUAGGGAAUGACAUGCGAGUGACGGUACUUUAUGAGAAAGCCACGGCUAACUACGUGCCAGCAGCCGCGGUAAUACGUAGGUGGCGAGCGUUAUCCGGAAUUAUUGGGCGUAAAGAGGGAGCAGGCGGCGGCAGAGGUCUGUGGUGAAAGACUGAAGCUUAACUUCAGUAAGCCAUAGAAACCGGGCUGCUAGAGUGCAGGAGAGGAUCGUGGAAUUCCAUGUGUAGCGGUGAAAUGCGUAGAUAUAUGGAGGAACACCAGUGGCGAAGGCGACGGUCUGGCCUGUAACUGACGCUCAUUCCCGAAAGCGUGGGGAGCAAAUAGGAUUAGAUACCCUAGUAGUCCACGCCGUAAACGAU
rnacentral:rRNA from 1 species